UAUUGCAAUUGGCUGGUGAUGAUGGUGGUAUUAUUGGAAUCACUCACAUGGUUAAGAGCCUCUUAAGGACCGUCUCUGAUCAGAGCCGGUCCUUAAGAGGCUCUUAACCAUGUGUGUGAUUCCAAUAAUACCACCAUCAUCACCAGCCAAU
rnacentral:miRNA from 1 species